GAGCUUUGGAAGCACCUGCAGUAAAACGGGAAUGAUGCAGAGAAGAGUAGCAAAGCCCCUGCACAGGAAAGACAUGCACAUUUGUGGAGCACAUUAGAUAAAA